rnacentral:rRNA from 1 species
CCUACGGGAGGCAGCAGUGGGGAAUAUUGGGCAAUGGGCGCAAGCCUGACCCAGCAACGCCGCGUGAAGGAAGAAGGCUUUCGGGUUGUAAACUUCUUUUAAGAGGGAAGAGCAGAAGACGGGACCUCUUGAAUAAGCCACGGCUAACUACGGGCCAGCAGCCGCGGGAAUACGUAGGUGGCAAGCGGUGUCCGGAUUUACUGGGUGGAACGGGCGUGCAGCCGGGAAGACAAGUCAGAUGUGAAAUCCCGCGGCUCAACCGCGGAACGGCCUUUGAAACUGUUUUUCUUGAGUACCGGAGAGGUCAUCGGAAUUCCUUGUGUAGCGGUGAAAUGCGUAGAUAUAAGGAAGAACCCCAGUGGCGAAGGCGGAUGACUGGACGGCAACUGACGGUGAGGCGCGAAAGCGUGGGGAGCAAACAGGAUUAGAUACCCUAGUAGUC